rnacentral:rRNA from 1 species
GACGAGGGAUCCUAGCGUUGUUCGGAAUCAUUGGGCGUAAAGCGGGUGUAGGUGGCUUUGUAAGUCAGGUGUGAAAUCCCAGGGCUCAACCCUGGACGUGCAUUUGAUACUGCGAAGCUUGAGUGUAGGAGAGGAUAGUAGAAUUCCUGGUGUAGUGGUGAAAUACGUAGAUAUCAGGAGGAAUACCGGAGGCGAAGGCGGCUAUCUGGCCUAACACUGACACUCAGA